rnacentral:rRNA from 1 species
AGGACGAAUGCUGGCGGCGUGCUUAACACAUGCAAGUCGAACGGUGAUGGAGAGCUUGCUCUCCUGAUCAGUGGCGAACGGUGAGUAACACGUGGGCAACCUGCCUCUCGCUCCGGGAUAACUUCGGGAAACCGAUGCUAAUACCGGAUAUGACCCGAUGCGACAUCGCAUCUGGUGGAAAGAAUUUCGGCGAGAGAUGGGCCCGCGGCCUAUCAGCUAGUUGGUGAGGCAAAAGCUCACCAAGGCGACGACGGGUA